GACGAACGCUGGCGGCGUGCUUAACACAUGCAAGUCGAACGGAAAGGCCCUGCUUUUGUGGGGUGCUCGAGUGGCGAACGGGUGAGUAACACGUGAGUAACCUGCCCUUGACUUUGGGAUAACUUCAGGAAACUGGGGCUAAUACCGGAUAGGAGCUCCUGCUGCAUGGUGUGGGUUGGAAAGUUUCGGCGGUUGGGGAUGGACUCGCGGCUUAUCAGCUUGUUGGUGGGGUAGUGGCUUACCAAGGCUUUGACGGGUAGCCGGCCUGAGAGGGUGACCGGCCACAUUGGGACUGAGAUACGGCCCAGACUCCUACGGGAGGCAGCAGUGGGGAAUAUUGCACAAUGGGCGGAAGCCUGAUGCAGCAACGCCGCGUGCGGGAUGACGGCCUUCGGGUUGUAAACCGCUUUCGCCCGUGACGAAGCGUGAGUGACGGUAAUGGGUAAAGAAGCACCGGCUAACUACGUG
rnacentral:rRNA from 1 species